rnacentral:rRNA from 1 species
AUUGAACGCUGGCGGCAGGCCUAACACAUGCAAGUCGAGCGCGAAAGUCUUCGGAUGAGUAAAGCGGCGGACGGGUGAGUAAUGCAUGGGAAUCUGCCUGGUAGUGGGGGACAAUGUUUCGAAAGGAACGCUAAUACCGCAUACGCCCUACGGGGGAAAGGGGGGGAUCUUCGGACCUCUCGCUAUCAGAUGAGCCCAUGUCAGAUUAGGUUGUUGGUGAGGUAAAGGCUCACCAAGGCGACGAUCUGUAACUGGUCUGAGAGGAUGAUCAGUCACACUGGAAGUGAGACACGGUCCAGACGCCUACGGGAGGCAGCAGUGGGGAAUAUUGGACAAUGGGCGAAAGCCUGAUCCAGCCAUGCCGCGUGUGUGAAGAAGGCCUUAGGGUUGUAAAGCACUUUCAGUGGGGAGAAAGGUAAUUCACCUAAUACGUGAGUUAAUUGAUGUUACCCACAGAAGAAGCACCGGCUAACUCCGUGCCAGCCGCCGCCGUAA